GACGAACGCUGGCGGCGUGCCUAACACAUGCAAGUGGAGCGACGAACCGGGCUUCGGCCCGGGGCAAAGCCGCGAACGGGUGAGUAACACGUGGGUAACCUGCCCUGAUGAUCGGGACAACCCGAGGAAACUCGGGCUAAUACCGAAUGUGCCCUCUGACCCGCAAGGUCGCUGGGGAAAGGAAGCUUCGGCCUCCGCAUUGGGGAUGGGCCCGCGGCCCAUUAGCUUGUUGGUGAGGUAACGGCUCACC
rnacentral:rRNA from 1 species